rnacentral:rRNA from 1 species
AGAGUUUGAUCAUGGCUCAGAACGAACGCUGGCGGCAUGCCUAACACAUGCAAGUCGAACGAACCCUUCGGGGUUAGUGGCGCACGGGUGCGUAACGCGUGGGAAUCUGCCCUUUGCUUCGGAAUAACAGUUAGAAAUGACUGCUAAUACCGGAUGAUGUCUUCGGACCAAAGAUUUAUCGGCAAAGGAUGAGCCCGCGUAGGAUUAGCUUGUUGGUGAGGUAAAGGCUCACCAAGGCGACGAUCCUUAGCUGGUCUGAGAGGAUGAUCAGCCACACUGGGACUGAGACACGGCCCAGACUCCUACGGGAGGCAGCAGUGGGGAAUAUUGGACAAUGGGCGAAAGCCUGAUCCAGCAAUGCCGCGUGAGUGAUGAAGGCCUUAGGGUUGUAAAGCUCUUUUACCAGGGAUGAUAAUGACAGUACCUGAGAAUAAGUCC